AUUGAACGCUGGCGGCAUGCUUUACACAUGCAAGUCGAACGGUAACAGGGAGCUUGCUCCGCUGACGAGUGGCGAACGGGUGAGUAAUGCGUCGGAACGUGCCGAGUAGUGGGGGAUAACGCAUCGAAAGGUGUGCUAAUACCGCAUACGUACUGAGGUAGAAAGUGGGGGACCUUCGGGCCUCACGCUAUUAGAACGGCCGACGUCUGAUUAGCUAGUUGGUGAGGUAGAGGCGCACCAAGGCGACGAUCAGUAGCGGGUCUGAGAGGAUGCUCCGCCAAACUGGGACUGAGACACGGCCCAGACUCCUACGGGAGGCAGCAGUGGGGAAUAUUGGACAAUGGGGAACCCUGAUCCAGCCAUGCCGCGUGUGUGAAGAAGGCCUUAUGGCUGUAAAGCACUUUAAGCGAGGAGGAGGCUACUGAGACUAAUACUCUUGGAUAGUGGACGUUACUCGCAGAAUAAGCACCGGCUAACUCUGUGCCAGCCGCCGCUGUAACAC
rnacentral:rRNA from 1 species